AGAAUUUAACAAUUUUAAUAGAUUUAGCAAAGACUGAAUGGAGCAAGGCCUGGUAUCAGAUGUGCAUUCAGAGACAGCAGCUUUGAGUAAAAUGAAUCACAGCCAGAGAACUGACAGCGUGUGCCAGUAGCAUCAGAAGAGCUCUUGGGUCAGGUCAGGGUUUCUGUAGGCAACUGUCCCUUGAAUUUACUGAAGAAAAUCCCUUACAGGGUUUUUCAGGAAAAAAAUAUUUCCUUUUCUCCGGAGAAAGAAAAUCCAGACUGAAUCAGAAAGAGCCAAUAGAGGGAGUGUAUCCCAUCCUCCAGGAAUCUGUGAUUCAGACAAGCAUGGAACCAGCCCCUCAGGGACAGUCUCAAGCAAUCCCCCUUCCUGAGCUAAAGGAGGAUUUAGGGAGGUUUUGGGUUUUUUUUAAGUAAAACUGCCUCAAGGGUCUGGAGAGCAGAUGAAAGAAUUCACAGACUUCCACAUUUUCUUCCCUUAACACCUGGACUUUUCUGCAUGCCUUGUAAGUAAGGUCCUGGAGCAGACCCAUCCCUGCAGAAGCAGUAAGGAACAAAUGUACAGGGCUUGCCUGAUGAGAGUGUCCCACGAGGCCACUGCCACAGACAAAAGAAGCAGAACAUGAUGGUAAACAGGAUUGUCUCCAGAAGAAACAGAAAAUAGGAGAUAAGCUAAGUUAGCUGCUGACUGCAGUUGCCUCUGAGGAAAGUUAGUUCAAAUAAGAUCAGAGCAUUGGAGAAAGCAGGGAAAGGGAAAGAUCAAACGUGAGGAUAUCAUUCUGUGUUUGAGAUAAUAAAGACCUUGCUGGAAGGCAGACAUCAGCUCCAACAAAUCUCUUCAUUAAGAUGGGAUCCUCUUUGGAGUCAAGAGAAUAACCUUCUGACCUUGAGCCACCUCCCUAACUAACAGCUGGCCCAUACAGCUAAUCCUUCAAUUUCGUGAGCUGACCAAAAUAAAGCCAUAAUUAUGCUA